rnacentral:misc_RNA from 1 species
GAGCAGCAUUGUUGGAACUUGUCAUGUUAAACAUGCUGGCUGGGGAGGAGGUUUGUCAGGUUAUGCCAUCAGAUACACUUGGACCUGGUAUGAUUUGUCAUCUUUAUUGCGAGCUGUGUGGAACUUUAUGCCUUAACAUAGAUGUGCGUUUAACAUGAAUGAGUGGUUAGUAUAGUUAUGGGAGAACAGUUGGUUUGAUUCUUGGAAAUCUGCUGCAGUCAUGAAGGUUUGUGCAAAUCCCAUUGAAGUAAUAAAACAGGCUGUAGUUCCAUCGGGUAAAGAUUGCAAUAGGAUUGAACCAAAUAUAUUUGAUUUGAUAAUGGAUAACUGAUCUUAGUAUUAAUGGUAAAAUCCAACUAUUUAAUAAAUAACUAGAAGUUAGCACUUUAGUUUAUCCUGCUGAAAACUUGGUUGCCCUCAAACUUCAUUAGGAACAUGGUUGAGGAUAUUGUGUUGUCUCAUUUUAGAUAACAUGUUUGCUGUAUAUUAAUCACAACAGUUCAAAUUUUAGUCUUUAGACGGAAGAGUUGCCUUUUGAUAUUAUUAUGUAACAUAUAGGUUUGUUGUUGACUAUUUAUUUGUUUAUUUUGGGUCAUUCAUUUAAUAGUGUCUGAUUUGGCAUCUGUCUUAAUUAGUGAACAGUUUAAAACUUGAAAUUUAGUGCAUGUUGCUUGAUAUGGUGUAUAGUUCUUCAUUCUUGUGCUUGUUUUGCAGGUAUCGUAUACAAAGUGAUAGA